CUUUACGUAAAAUUGUGGCAAGGCGUUUUGAUCUGUAUUAUGGCUAAUAUUUUCGUUGAGAAUGGCAAUUGGCAACAAGUGAUGCAUCGCAUAUUCGCAGAGUGGUUGGAUAUUUGCAGCAUCAUAUAUGGAAGCGUUGGAAUAUCUUUUCGUUGGAUUCUGGUAGUUUUUGUUGACGCACUUUCUCAGGACGGACUUUGCUUUCAAAGAUUUCCAUCUCCAUAGCAACUACUGGUGAGAUGAAGAACCAAAUUGGGAAUCCAUAAAGCAGCACAGACCUGAUGGCCACUUUAUAUAAAAGCAGUUUGGUAUUUUGUGGAUAUGCUCAAAUACUUUGCCGACAUUUGAAAGCAAGGAGAUAGGCCGAUAUUCCGCCACUGUUUUGCUGCUUGGCUUUUUCUUUAUGGGGAUUACAUUGGCCAUUUUCCACCCCAAUGGAAAGUAACCCAAGUUUAUGCAGUUAUUAAAAAUGCAUUCGAGGAACUGCA